rnacentral:rRNA from 1 species
GACACGACUCUCGGCAAUGGAUAUCUCGGCUCUUGCAUCGAUGAAGAACGCAGCGAAAUGCGAUACGUGGUGCGAAUUGCAGAAUCCCGCGAAC